rnacentral:rRNA from 1 species
ACUGCCUGAUGGAGGGGGAUAACUACUGGAAACGGUGGCUAAUACCGCAUAACGUCGCAAGACCAAAGAGGGGGACCUUCGGGCCUCUUGCCAUCAGAUGUGCCCAGAUGGGAUUAGCUUGUUGGUGAGGUAACGGCUCACCAAGGCGACGAUCCCUAGCUGGUCUGAGAGGAUGACCAGCCACACUGGAACUGAGACACGGUCCAGACUCCUACGGGAGGCAGCAGUGGGGAAUAUUGCACAAUGGGCGCAAGCCUGAUGCAGCCAUGCCGCGUGUAUGAAGAAGGCCUUCGGGUUGUAAAGUACUUUCAGCGGGGAGGAAGGUGUUGUGGUUAAUAACCGCAGCAAUUGACGUUACCCGCAGAAGAAGCACCGGCUAACUCCGUGCCAGCAGCCGCGGUAAUACGGAGGGUGCAAGCGUUAAUCGGAAUUACUGGGCGUAAAGCGCACGCAGGCGGUCUGUCAAGUCGGAUGUGAAAUCCCCGGGCUCAACCUGGGAACUGCAUUCGAAACUGGCAGGCUUGAGUCUUGUAGAGGGGGGUAGAAUUCCAGGUGUAGCGGUGAAAUGCGUAGAGAUCUGGAGGAAUACCGGUGGCGAAGGCGGCCCCCUGGACAAAGACUGACGCUCAGGUGCGAAAGCGUGGGGAGCAAACAGGAUUAGAUACCCUGGUAGUCCACGCCGUAAACGAUGUCUACUUGGAGGUUGUGCCCUUGAGGCGUGGCUUCCGGAGCUAACGCGUUAAGUAGACCGCCUGGGGAGUACGGCCGCAAGGUUAAAACUCAAAUGAAUUGACGGGGGCCCGCACAAGCGGUGGAGCAUGUGGUUUAAUUCGAUGCAACGCGAAGAACCUUACCUGGUCUUGACAUCCACAGAAGAAUCCAGAGAUGGAUUUGUGCCUUCGGGAACUGUGAGACAGGUGCUGCAUGGCUGUCGUCAGCUCGUGUUGUGAAAUGUUGGGUUAAGUCCCGCAACGAGCGCAACCCUUAUCCUUUGUUGCCAGCGGUUAGGCCGGGAACUCAAAGGAGACUGCCAGUGAUAAACUGGAGGAAGGUGGGGAUGACGUCAAGUCAUCAUGGCCCUUACGACCAGGGCUACACACGUGCUACAAUGGCGCAUACAAAGAGAAGCGACCUCGCGAGAGCAAGCGGACCUCAUAAAGUGCGUCGUAGUCCGGAUUGGAGUCUGCAACUCGACUCCAUGAAGUCGGAAUCGCUAGUAAUCGUGGAUCAGAAUGCCACGGUGAAUACGUUCCCGGGCCUUGUACACACCGCCCGUCACACCAUGGGAGUGGGUUGCAAAAGAAGUAGGUAGCUUAACCUUCGGGAGGGCGCUUACCACUUUGUGAUUCAUGACUGGGGUGAAGUCGUAACAAGGUAACCGUAGGGGAACCUGCGGUUGGAUCACCUCCUUACCUUAAAGAAGC